rnacentral:lncRNA from 10 species
UGCCUCUGGCAGGCCCUCUGGCUGAUACUUUUGCACCCGUGGAGGUGUGUACAAGUGCCCGUCCCGUCCCGGGUGGCAGGAGAGGCUGCGGGAGAGCUGGUUACUAGGUGCUUCCUUGGCCUCUGUGGCACUGGCCAUGAGAAUGGGUAGCAUGGCGACAACCUGAGCACUGUGGGCAUUUGGGGCCAGGGGCCCUCUGCAGUGGGGCCAUCCUGUGCACCGUAGACAUUUAGCCCCCCAACCCCGGCCUCUUCCCACUAGAUGUGGGUGGUGUCCCUAUAUCCCUGACAAGCAUAAAUGUCCCCUGGGGGACAUAGUCACCCGUGGGAGCCACUGGUGUAGACAGGGAACCCGGGUACAGGACCUCUGUUGGCCCAGCAGAGGGGAUGCGAGGGGCUGGGGGUGGCCCCUAUCCUCAUGGUCACCCUGUUUACAGCCUGGGCUAGGAGCUAUUGCCCCCACCCUGGGAAAAGAAUGUCUGACUGAGCCCCACCCACUUCCUUUGCAAGGAAGAGAAAGCAGCUCCGGGAGGGUCCGGGAGGGCAGCUGUGGCCACAGACCACGGUGAGGACACUGACCACCGGCAGCCACCUGUGGCCUCCAGACCCAGGUCCCUCCUGGCUCUUUCCAGCCAGCCCUCUCCUCCCUGCGCAGAUGCUGUGGCUGCUAUUCCUGACCCUCCCCUGCCUGGGGGGGCUCCAUGUCCAAGACCCCAGGUGACUCCUGGCCCAAUCCCACACUGGACCCUCAGGGACUGGGCUAGGACGGAGAGCUGACCCCCUCGUCGAGCAGGGCCUGGAAGCUCCUGGCAUUGCAGGAGGGUGGGGCCCGGCUCCCUGACCUCCUUUGGUUGUUCCCAGUGCCCGUCCCAGAGAAUGACCUGGUGGGCAUUGUGGGGGGCCACAAUGCCCCCCCGGGGAAGUGGCCGUGGCAGGUCAGCCUGAGGGUCUACAGCUACCACUGGGCCUCCUGGGCGCACAUCUGUGGGGGCUCCCUCAUCCACCCCCAGUGGGUGCUGACUGCUGCCCACUGCAUUUUCUGGAAGGACACCGACCCGUCCAUCUACCGGAUCCACGCUGGGGACGUGUAUCUCUACGGGGGCCGGGGGCUGCUGAACGUCAGCCGGAUCAUCGUCCACCCCAACUAUGUCACUGCGGGGCUGGGUGCGGAUGUGGCCCUGCUCCAGCUGAGUCGCUGCCGCCGCCCUACCGCCUGCAGCAGGCGAGUGUGCAGGUGCUGGAGAACGCCGUCUGUGAGCAGCCCUACCGCAACGCCUCAGGGCACACUGGCGACCGGCAGCUCAUCCUGGAUGACAUGCUGUGUGCCGGCAGCGAGGGCCGAGACUCCUGCUACGGUGACUCCGGCGGCCCUCUGGUCUGCAGGCUGCGGGGGUCCUGGCGCCUGGUGGGGGUGGUCAGCUGGGGCUACGGCUGUACCCUGCGGGACUUUCCCGGCGUCUACACCCACGUCCAGAUCUACGUGCUCUGGAUCCUGCAGCAAGUCGGGGAGUUGCCCUGAGCAGGCUGGGCUGGGCUCCCACCUGGGUCGGCUGAGGAGGGACCAGGACCUUCCUCCUCCCAGCGAUCUCCGCUUCGGCCUCCGCUGCAGGCCACCGUCUUGAGCCCGGCUUCUCUGGCUCCUCAGCGCCCAGGACCUCCCUGAUGCCGGGGUGGGGAAGGGGCCGGGGAAGGGAGGGUGGGGGCCUCGCUGCGUCUCUGUCUGAUUAAAGAGCAAGAGCAGAGUGUGUGGCGUCUCUGUGGGAUGGAUUUGCAUUCCAAGCUGCAGCCAGGUGCGGUUUGCUCAGCCACCUCCUGUUGGAGGCCUCCACAUUUUGGCUAUGGUAAUAAAGAUGCUGAGAACAUUC